ACAUCGGAAUCUUUGCAAGAAGAUGAGCCUAAUGAAGAUGACACGUCGACCGAGACCUACCCUGUCAGUCCCGUUGCCUCACCUAUCAACGAGCCGCCGUAUCAUUGGACUCAAGCAGUUGCCACGAGACUCGUGCCUGUGGCAGCUGACUACAAAUUCACAUUCACGAAGACAUUCAGUACUGACAGUGACGGUACAGAAACCGACGGUGACGACGCUGUAUGUGAGCAUUGCGGUCCAAAACCUCCAGCCCCGGUCAAACCGGCGCCCCUGCCUCCUUUUGGCUCUACGCCGAGGAGGCAAUCCCGGA